CAGUCGCCGCGGUAAUACGGAGGGGGCUAGCGUUGUUCGGAAUUACUGGGCGUAAAGCGCACGUAGGCGGCUUGGUAAGUUAGAGGUGAAAGCCCGGAGCUCAACUCCGGAAUUGCCUUUAAGACUGCCGAGCUAGUAGGUGAGAGAGGUAAGUGGAAUUCCGAGUGUAGAGGUGAAAUUCGUAGAUAUUCGGAAGAACACCAGUGGCGAAGGCGGCUUACUGGCUCAUUCUAGACGCUGAGGUGCGAAAGCGUGGUGAGCAAACAGGAUUAGAUACCCGAGUAGUCCCUGUCUCUUAUAC
rnacentral:rRNA from 1 species